rnacentral:rRNA from 1 species
GACGAACGCUGGCGGCGUGCCUAAUACAUGCAAGUAGAACGCACAGUUUAUACCGUAGCUUGCUACACCAUAGACUGUGAGUUGCGAACGGGUGAGUAACGCGUAGGUAACCUGCCUGGUAGCGGGGGAUAACUAUUGGAAACGAUAGCUAAUACCGCAUAAUAUUAAUUAUUGCAUGAUAAUUGAUUGAAAGAUGCAACUGCAUCACUACCAGAUGGACCUGCGUUGUAUUAGCUAGUAGGUGAGGUAACGGCUCACCUAGGCGACGAUACAUAGCCGACCUGAGAGGGUGAUCGGCCACACUGGGACUGAGACACGGCCCAGACUCCUACGGGAGGCAGCAGUAGGGAAUCUUCGGCAAUGGACGAAAGUCUGACCGAGCAACGCCGCGUGAGUGAAGAAGGUUUUCGGAUCGUAAAGCUCUGUUGUAAGAGAAGAACGGGUGUGAGAGUGGAAGGUUCACACUGUGACGGUAGCUUACCAGAAAGGGACGGCUAACUACGUG